UACAGAGGGGGCAAGCGUUAUUCGGAAUUACUGGGCGUAAAGCGUGCGCAGGCGGUUGGUUAAGUCUGAUGUGAAAGCCCCGAGCUCAACUUGGGAAUGGCAUUGGAAACUGGCUGGCUAGAGUGUGGCAGAGGGUGGUGGAAUUCCCGGUGUAGUGGUGAAAUGCGUAGAGAUCGGGAGGAACACCCGUGGCGAAGGCGGCCACCUGGGCCGACCCUGACGCUGAGGCGCGAAGGCGUGGGGAGCGAACGGG
rnacentral:rRNA from 1 species